UUGAAAGGGAAACGAUUGAAGUCAGUCGUACCGGCGGGUAAUCAGCCUUUUGGGUGUGAUUAUGUGGAGUGUGAGGAGUUAAACACCCUCAUCUUUGCAUAUUCGUGCACUUUGGGUGUACUUGCUCGUGUGGUAGGUUAACAUCAAUUUUGAUCGUCAUAAAAUGAUUGGAGGAAUGUAGCUUCGAUCUCGUAUUGAAGUGUUAUAGGCUUCGGUAGAUGUGAUGAUUGGGAUUGAGGAUUGCAACGGAUUCCUUCGGGGCUACCUGUCUGAUCUCUGAAAGUUGCUCUGGUGCUGAAAGCUUGCUUAUAGUAUCAAAGUUGACGUUCAACAGGUUAGAACGGGAUAAAUUCGUUAAGGAUGUUGACGUA
rnacentral:rRNA from 1 species